AUGCCUCUGGGCAUGAAUUUGGAGCAAUCUGCUUUUCUAAGCCACCAUGAUUCCAGAAACUUAGUUGACGACGUUGUUAAUGUUGAUCCCAGCGUUCACAAUAAUCACCACCACCACCACCACCACCACCACCAUCAACACCUCACUCUCCACAAUAACAACUCAUCACCCUCUUCUACUGCACCAAUCACCGUAUGCACCCAUCACCUUUACCAUCCUACAUCUUCUCAUAACAAUACUAGUGCGCAUGCAGAUUAGAGACUGGUUUUAUUUAUUUUAUUCUCUUAUUGUUUGUUAAUUUUUGUGAGUCGUGCAGGAUCGCGAUUCGAUGCAUGUGAGAGGUUUGUUUUCAGCGUUUGGACAGUUGCACAGUCCUACGCUUGUUCCCUCUGUCCGCCCCACGCUGUCAUCGCCGCCGCCUCCUCAGCCCCAGCUCCACCUCCACCACCACCAUAACCAACAGGUAACAUUAUUAUUAAUUAUUAUUAUACCUUAAUAAUAAUAAUAAUUCCAUCCCUCACCC
rnacentral:lncRNA from 1 species